rnacentral:rRNA from 1 species
AGAGGAUGAUCAGCCACACGGGCACUGAGACACGUGCCCGACUCCUACGGGAGGCAGCAGUAGGGAAUAUUGGACAAUGGGCGAAAGCCUGAUCCAGCCAUCCCGCGUGAAGGAUUAAGGCCCUCUGGGUUGUAAACUUCUUUUCUCUGGGAAUAAAAAGUGGGGUUCUCCCUACCUUGAAGGUACCAGAGGAAUAAGCACCGGCUAACUCCGUGCCAGCAGCCGCGGUAAUACGGAGGGUGCAAGCGUUAUCCGGAUUCACUGGGUUUAAAGGGUGCGUAGGUGCCUUUGUAAGUCAGUGGUGAAAGCCCGGAGCUCAACUCCGGAACUGCCAUUGAUACUGCUUAGCUUGAAUCAACUUGAGGUGGAUGGAAUAUUACAUGUAGCGGUGAAAUGCUUAGAUAUGUAAUAGAACACCGAUUGCGAAGGCAGUUCACUAAGGUUGUAUUGACACUGAGGCACGAAAGCGUGGGGAUCAAACAGGAUUAGAUACCCUGGUAGUCCACGCCUUAAACGAUGUAAACUCGACAUUAGCGAUAUACUGUUAGUGUCCAAGCGAAAGCGUUAAGUUUACCACCUGGGAAGUACGUCCGCAAGGAUGUAACUCAAAGGAAUUGGCGGGGGUCCGCACAAGCGGUGGAGCAUGUGGUUUAAUUCGAUACGCGAGGAACCUUACCUGGGCUAGAAUGUAACUUGACCGAUCCUGAAAGGGGUCUUUGUAGCAAUACACAGGUUACAAGGUGCUGCAUGGUUGUCGUCAGCUCGUGCCGUGAGGUGUUGGGUUAAGUCCCGCAACGAGCGCAACCCCUAUCUUUAGUUGCCAGCGAGUCAUGUCGGGGACUCUAAAGAGACUGCCUGUGUAAACAGAGAGGAAGGAGGGGAUGACGUCAAAUCAUCAUGGCCUUUAUGCCCAGGGCUACACACGUGCUACAAUGGUAGGGACAAUGAGUCGCCAACUGGCAACAGUGAGCUAAUCUCAAAAACCCUAUCUCAGUUCGGAUUGGAGUCUGCAACUCGACUCCAUGAAGCUGGAAUCGCUAGUAAUCGCAAAUCAGCAAUGUUGCGGUGAAUACGUUCCCGGACCUUGCACACACCGCCCGUCAAGCCAUGGAAGUGGGGUGUACCUUAAGACGAUAACCGCAAGGAGUUGUCCAAGGUAAAACUCGUAACUGGGGCUAAGUCGUAACAAGGUAGCCGUACCGGAAGGUGCGGCUG